AACGAACGCUGGCGGCAUGCCUAACACAUGCAAGUCGAACGAGAUCUUCGGGUCUAGUGGCGCACGGGUGCGUAACGCGUGGGAAUCUGCCCUUUGGUUCGGAAUAACAGUUGGAAACGACUGCUAAUACCGGAUGAUGACGAAAGUCCAAAGAUUUAUCGCCAGAGGAUGAGCCCGCGUAGGAUUAGCUAGUUGGUGUGGUAAAGGCGCACCAAGGCGACGAUCCUUAGCUGGUCUGAGAGGAUGAUCAGCCACACUGGGACUGAGACACGGACCAGACUCCUACGGGAGGCAGCAGUGGGGAAUAUUAGACAAUGGGCGAAAGCCUGAUCCAGCAAUGCCGCGUGAGUGAUGAAGGCCUUAGGGUUGUAAAGCUCUUUUACCCGGGAUGAUAAUGACAGUAUCGGGAGAAUAAGCUCCGGCUAACUCCGUGCCAGCAGCCGCCGUAA
rnacentral:rRNA from 1 species